CCUACGGGUGGCAGCAGUGGGGAAUAUUGGGCAAUGGGCGCAAGCCUGACCCAGCAACGCCGCGUGAAGGAAGAAGGCUCUAGGGUUUUAAACUUCCUUUUUCAGGGCAGAGUAGGAGACUGUGCCUGACGAAUAAGCCACGGCGAACUACGGGCCAGCAGCCGAGGUAAUGCGUAGGUGGCAAGCUUUGUCCGGAUUUACUGGGUGUAAAGGGGGUGUAGCCGGGUUGACAAGUCAGAUGGGAAAUCCUGCGGCUUAACCGCAGAAUUGCGUUUGAAACUGUUGAUCUUGAGUACUGGAGAGGCAGACGGAAUUCCUAGUGUAGCGGUGAAAUGCGUAGAUAUUAGGCAGAACACC
rnacentral:rRNA from 1 species